rnacentral:rRNA from 1 species
GCAAGUCGAACGGCAGCACGGGGGCAACCCUGGUUGCGAGUGGCGAACGGGUUGAGUAAUACAUCGGGAACGUAUCCUGUAGCGGGGGAUAACCUCCUCGAAAGAGAGGCUAAUACCGCAUACGACCUACGGGUGAAAGAGGGGGGAUCGCAAGACCUCUCACUAUUGGAGCGGCCGAUGUCGGAUUUAGCUAGUUGGCGGGGUAACGGCCCACCAAGGCUACGAUCCGUAGCUGGUCUGAGAGGACGACCAGCCACACUGGAACUGAGACACGGUCCAGACUCCUACGGGAGGCAGCAGUGGGGAAUUUUGGACAAUGGGCGCAAGCCUGAUCCAGCCAUGCCGCGUGAGUGAAGAAGGCCUUCGGGUUGUAAAGCUCUUUCGGCGGGGACGAAAAGGUCUGUGUUAACACCACGGAUCCAUGACGGUACCCGCAGAAGAAGCACCGGCUAACUACGUGCCAGCAGCCGCGGUAAUACGUAGGGUGCAGGCGUUAAUCGGAAUUGCUGGGCGUAAAGCGUGCGCAGGCGGUUUACUAAGACAGGUGUGAAAUCCCCGGGCUUAACCUGGGAACUGCGCUUGUAACUGGUAGGCUUGAGUGUGGCAGAGGGGGGUGGAAUUCCAGGUGUAGCAGUGAAAUGCGUAGAUAUCUGGAGGAACACCGAUGGCGAAGGCAGCCCCCUGGGCUAACACUGACGCUCAUGCACGAAAGCGUGGGGAGCAAACAGGAUUAGAUACCCUGGUAGUCCACGCCCUAAACUAUGUCAACUGGUUGUCGGGGAAGCAAUUCCUUGGUAACGAAGCUAACGCGUGAAGUUGACCA